UACGGAGGGUGCAAGCGUUAUCCGGAUUCACUGGGUUUAAAGGGUGCGUAGGUGGGCUAGUAAGUCAGUGGUGAAAUCUCCGGGCUUAACCCGGAAACUGCCAUUGAUACUAUUAGUCUUGAAUACCAUGGAGGUGAGCGGAAUAUGUCAUGUAGCGGUGAAAUGCUUAGAUAUGACAUAGAACACCAAUUGCGAAGGCAGCUCGCUACGCGGUUAUUGACACUUGAGGCACGAAAGCGUGGGGAUCAAACAGG
rnacentral:rRNA from 1 species